GGAACAAUGAGCAGCAGCUGCUGUUGACAGAGCUGAAAAACCAAGCUCUGUGCCUCGCUGGCGAUGGCCGUGCAGAUUCCCCGGGACAUUCUGCAGAUUUCGGCACGUACUCACUUAUGGACACUGCAGCUAACCGUAUUAUUUAUCUGGAGCUGGUGAAGUCUACUGAGGUUACCUCCAGCAAUAAAAUGGAAAAGGAAGGGCUACAAAGAGCUCUCAACUACCUACAGGACCAGGGCAUGACCGUGAAAACACUCAUCACUGACAGGCACACUGAAAUUAAAGCCUUUAUGAAGGCUUCACACCCAGAAGUGCAGCACCGUUUUGAUGUCUGGCACGUAGCCAAAGGCAUACGUAAGAAAAUCAGUGCUGUGUCACGCACAAAGCAGCAUCAGGUAUUGCAGAUGUGGUCCCCAAC